rnacentral:lncRNA from 1 species
UAGUACCGCAGAAAUUUACCUGGUCACCUGACACGACUCCUCCCACAGUGCUACGCAAGGCAGCGCUCCUCACAAAUCUCACCACGUUCCGAUGGAGUGGGGUUUGCAUGUCUGUUUCGAGGGAUUGAGUCAAAACAAGCUCUGAAAAAAACGGGGCUCAGUUUCCCUAAUGUCCUCCUUCAAAUUAAUUAGUGAUGAGAGUGGCUGAUGCUCUGAGUGUAUUUCUGUGAGGGAUAAAGGACGACAGUUUUAGGCUCUUGUAGUCAGCUGCUGGUGUAAAAGUGCAAUCCGUUGGUUCAUCUGUGACUGAACUCGAGCCAGACCGAUGUCUCUCGGAGAUUCCAUCACUAUCGCCGACCUCAUGCAAGGAUUUUGGUAGGCCCACAUCUCUGGAGGGUACAUGCAAGCUGUGUCGAGGAAGAAGCAACACCGGGACGUCCAUAGAGUUGGAGACUUCCGGGCCUGUAUUCAUAAAGCUUUUCAAGAUGUGCUCUGGACUGGCUGUGAUUUCUCCUCCUCAUGCUCGAUGGCAGACGAAGACAGCCGCUCUGUCCACGUGAGCUUUGAUCACAAAGAGAUGGCUCUGAUCCACAGCUAAACCUGAUCCACUGCUCUCCUGUCUCUCUGACCGUCCCCUCUCCUCUGUUUUCCUCU